CCUACGGGAGGCAGCAGUAAGGAAUAUUGGUCAAUGGGCGCAAGCCUGAACCAGCCAUGCCGCGUGCAGGAAGACGGCCCUAUGGGUUGUAAACUGCUUUUGAACAAGAGAAAACCUCGGUACGUGUACCGAGCUGAUAGUAUUGUUAGAAUAAGCAUCGGCUAACUUCGUGCCAGCAGCCGCGGUAAGACGAAGGAUGCAAGCGUUAUCCGGAUUCAUUGGGUUUAAAGGGUGCGUAGGCGGCCUGAUAAGUCAGUGGUGAAAUCUCUCAGCUUAACUGAGAAACUGCCAUUGAUACUGUCGGGCUUGAGUACAGAUGAUGUGGGCGGAAUAUGACAUGUAGUGGUGAAAUACUUAGAUAUGUCAUAGAACACCGAUUGCGAAGGCAGCUCACAAAACUGUAACUGACGCUGAGGCACGAAAGUGCGGGGAUCAAACAGGAUUAGAUACCCUGGUAGUCCGCACCGUAAACGAUGAUUACUCGUUGUUGGCAAUAUGACCGUCAGCGACCAAGCGAAAGCGAAUAAGUAAUCCACCUGGGGAGUACGCCGGCGAACGGUGAAACUCAAAUGAAUUGACGG
rnacentral:rRNA from 1 species